rnacentral:misc_RNA from 1 species
GGAAAUGCCAGUCCAAUUUCAAGAAAAUCUCCAGAGGUUAAUACAUGAUGAAAUAGAGAAGAUCAAAGGCUUUCCCAGGGAUACAAAUGCACCCUUCAGGGAAAGAUUGAAAUUCUUGGGCCGAGUUGUAAACACAGAGGAUCUUCAAUUAAGUGCGGCUGAGAAGAAACUCUUGAAUGCAUACAAUGAAAAGCCUGUGCUCUCACGUCCUCAACAUGAAUUCUAU